rnacentral:lncRNA from 10 species
CUGUCCUUUGUGCAGGGCGGUACCAUUCGAUCUUGCCAGCUCUCCUUCAGGGAGCGCCCGCUAUGUGCCAGGCGCCGUGCCAAGCCUGAUCUCCCGUAGUCCUCACAGACCCUCCGCGGUCAGUGCCUCUGCUGCUCCCCGCCCAAGGCGCAGCGGGGUGUGGCCAUUUGCCCAGGGUCACGCAGACUUGAACCCCCCAUCCCCGUGCCCAUUUAACAACCAAGAUACUGCGCCUCCCACCGCGUCCACAUCCACAUCUGCUGUGGCUCCGGGGCCUCCUAACCGUCCUGGGAGACAAAACAGUCACACUGGUGGCUGGCGUCGCGGUGCACCUACUGUGUGCCAAGCACUCACGGCCUCGUUUCACUUUCGCAACAGCAACGAGAGAUCUGUUGUCCCAGGGUGAGGAAGCAAAGGCACAGAAGAGCUGAAGCGAUUUGCCCACAGUCACAAGGGCACUGGACUUUAAGGGCCAAGAGUGAAGACCAUUUUGUCCUGUUCUCUGGCACACAGUAGGCACUCGACAACUAUUUCAAAACUAAAGGAAUAAGCAAGUGGCCUCAUGGCUACUGAGGACAGAGUCUGGAACUGAAUGCAGGGCACUCUGAAGCUGGAGCUCACUUCUACAUUAUUGCCUUUCUCAUGCUACUAGCAGGCACUGAAUGUGUCAGUGAGUGAAUGAAUGAAACCAAGAUCUCAGGAUCCCAGUCAAGUGCUCCCUGAGUUUCAUUUCCUGGUAGUGUGGACAUGAG